rnacentral:rRNA from 1 species
UACAGAGGUCUCGAGCGUUGUUCGGAUUCAUUGGGCGUAAAGGGCGCGUAGGCGGCGGGGUAAGUCUGGUGUGAAAUCUCGGAGCUCAACUCCGAAAUUGCACUGGAUACUGCUCUGCUAGAGGGCUGGAGAGGAGAUCGGAAUUCACGGUGUAGCGGUGAAAUGCGUAGAUAUCCGGAGGAACACCGGUGGCGAAGGCGGUCUGCUGGGCAGUUGCUGACACUGAGGCGCGACAGCGUGGGGAGCAAACAGG